rnacentral:lncRNA from 1 species
CUUUACUUAUCACAGCCGAUUAUGUCUUCUGAGAAAUAUGAGAUUACAGAGAAAUUAGAGGUUUGACAGGAUUUUGUUAAUUAACAAUUCGAUCUUUUUAUGUGUGGAUUCCUGACUUACUAAAGUAUUUGCGUCCCAUCUUGAAAGCUGUCUGCUCUUGCAAAGAAAGACUCAGUCUCAGUCAGUGUUGCAGCAGGGACCUAUGACUUUUAGAACAGGAAACCCAGGAAAAUCUGUUUCCUCCAGAUCAUGUUGACGUCAUGGUGUACAAGUUUCUCAAGAUUGUGGCCGCUGAGGCAAGCAUGCAUCACAAAGAACACUGCUGAGAUAUCGGAGAAGGACAGCUACAAGGUCAGGGGAUUUGAUCAGAACAUCCAUCAAUCUUCUGUAUUGUGCUUUGAUAUGACUACAGUAAAUCUCUGCUUCAUAAGGCUAAGCCUUAAGCUAUCCAGAAGCUUUGUCUCAGUUGUCACACAUCCUCAGAUGACCAUCCUACCAAAUGACCUCUUUUGUGGAUGGAAGUAAGUGGACUAGAGAGCCUCUGAUAAAAGCAACAGCUGAGAAAGUGCAAUUCUAUACUAAGAAAUCAACUCUACCUCUGCGGUGGUGGUAAUCUCUGUAAAGUUUGCUCAAUGCCAACAGUGACUUAACACAGAUCUUAUGAAAAAUAAAGUGACCCAAAUUCAUAACUGUUGUGAAUGCUUCACUGCUUAAAGCAUUUUUUCAUUAAGGUUGAUUUUAACUCAAGAUCUCCAUCUUAUUCUCUGAAUCCCUGAUAAUGACGUGUUUGACUGUCUCUCUAUAAAAGUCAGAAAACAUUCAGGCUUAGAUUUCAUCCACAAUUCAACAUAAUGGUCUUAAAUAUAAGAAGUGGGAUUAAGUAAGUUAGUUUUGAGAUCUGUUGUAGGUUUAGCCUUUCUUUAGCCCUUUUUCUUUCUUCUCUUUACCUGAUUUGUUCUCUUCCUGUUUAUUGUACUCUUGAAAGAAAGAAUAGCUCUCUGUGUUUAUUGUCCCUAUCAGUUUAAUGUCAGGUCAAAUCUGUAAUUUAAAAUGUUCC